GACGAACGCUGGCGGCGCGCCUAACACAUGCAAGUCGAACGAGAGAUGAGGAGCUUGCUCUUCAAAUCGAGUGGCGAACGGGUGAGUAACGCGUGAGGAACCUGCCUCAAAGAGGGGGACAACAGUUGGAAAUGACUGCUAAUACCGCAUAAGCCCACGGCUCGGCAUCGAGCAGAGGGAAAAGGAGCGAUCCGCUUUGAGAUGGCCUCGCGUCCGAUUAGCUAGUUGGUGAGGUAACGGCCCACCAAGGCGACGAUCGGUAGCCGGACUGAGAGGUUGAACGGCCACAUUGGGACUGAGACACGGCCCAGACUCCUACGGGAGGCAGCAGUGGGGAAUAUUGCACAAUGGGGGAAACCCUGAUGCAGCGACGCCGCGUGGAGGAAGAAGGUCUUCCGGAUUGUAAACUCCUGUUGUUGAGGAAGAUAAUGACGGUACUCAACAAGGAAGUGACGGCUAACUACGUG
rnacentral:rRNA from 1 species